ensembl:lncRNA
AAAAGAUUCCUUGAACAUGACGUCUCCCUCUACUUCUUUCAGCAUUACCAUGAUCACAAUCACUUUUCCUACCAAUUGCUGUGUUUUGUCCUCCUGCAGAAUGUAAAUACACUAGGGACUGUGUUUGUCUUAUUUACAACCAUGUCCCUGAUACCUAGUGCAUAGUAAAUGUUCAAAAAAGUGUGGUUGAAUGCAUGUAUUUUGAAUGAGAAGGCAAAGGGGAAAGUGAAUACUUACUGAGAACUUACCAUAUGUUAAGCAAAUUACUGUUCCAUUUGUUCCUCACAAACCUUUAUCAUAAAUAUUUUGCAUCCCAUUCUAUAGAUGAGAAAAUCAAGGCUCAGAGAGGCUUUGGAGGAAACCUGUGUCACCCCAUCAGACAUUAUUAGUUGCUAGCUUAGCUUGCAUCUCCCCUUCUUCCUUGCUGGUAGAGCCUGAAUUAUGUUGAGUAUAUUGCACACUGCCUUACCCCUAACCCUCACAUGCUUUAGAGGAAGGCAUUCCUAGCCCACAUUCCAAGUGUACGUCCUGACUAAUUUAAGACAAUCAGGGUGAAGUUGGUCCUUUUUUAAGUGAUUAAUUUGGGGUUUGACAUGUGACUCAGUUCAAACUUAAUGCUGGGGUUUGGAUGUCCUGAAAAAGAUUUAGAAUUCCUAAGGGGACAUUAAAAAAUGUAGAAUCUCUGGAUUUGAUGUUUCCUGGGUAUGACGCCUGGAAUAAAUACAGUCAUCUUGUGAACUGAAAUAGCAAAGUGGAGAAGCUGAAGAACCAGGGUCUAUGAUGACAUGAAUAAGCCUUUGAGUUAACUAACCUCAAAGUCACUCCACCCCUGGACUUGUCAGAUUGGAAAAAUCCAUUUCUGUAUUGUUUCAGGCAUUUUGAGUCAAGGUGGUGUUUUCAGAUGAAGACAUCCAGAUUGACAUGAAUAGGUAACUGGGUGGGAGUAGCAGGUCCAGAUUUUUCCCUACAUCUCACUCAGAUGUCUGUGUACUUUCCACUCCACUGUCUUUCAGAAAGUGAAAUUGUUUAAAACAAAGGCCAGAAAUUUCUGAGUCCCAAGGGGAGCUGAAUAAUGGGCAUUGUAGUAAACCACUCAGCUUGUCCACUCUAGCGCAUUCUUCAUACAUUUGACAAUAGAAUUGUUCACUGUACAGGUCUAUGUGAAGUAAGUGCUAUGUGGUGCUUAAGUAUAUGUAUGUAUUUUUAAUUUGGUUUUGGCUCUGCUGGGUCUUUGUUGCUACUUCGUCUUUUCUCUAGUGAUGGUAAGCGGGGGCUACUCUCAGUUGUGCUGUGUGCGCUUCUCAUUCCAGCAGAUUCUCCUAUUGAGGAGCAUGGCCUCGAGGGCACAUGGGCUUCAGUAGUUGCAGCGUGCGGGCUCAGUAUUGUGGAGCACAGGCUCAGUAGUUGUGAUGCACGGGUUGAGUUGCUCUGCGGCACGUGGGAUCUUUCCAGACCAGGGAUUGAGUGCAUAUCUCCUGCAGGUGGAAUCUUUACCACUGGGCCACCGGGGAAGCCCUUCAGUAUAUCUAACUUUUAUUUUCUUCUGUAAUUGCCCCUAUCUUUUCGUAUGAACCCUAAGUUCUCUGAGGACAGCAUCUGUGCCUUGUUUUUCCAUAAUGUGUACUUGUCGGUUUCUUUUUUCAUUCUGAUGGGUAGAUAUGCAAAGUGAAUUAACUGCCAGUAAAGGAUGAAAUUCUAGCUCUCAUAACCAAACCUCAAGAAGGGUGGAGCGGGCCUCAUGCAUGAGUGAACCCCAGAGUGGUCUGUAACUCAUACACGGAUCAGGGCUCGACAGCCCAGAAGGCUUUGCUUGGAACUCGAUGCCUCCAGAUUCCCCUACUUGGCCAUUUCCACAUCAGAGGCGCACAGCUCCUGCCACACGAGAAAGCCAAAAGUCUGCAACCAGUUUCAUUAAGCUGAAGUCAAGGUGUCAACGGGGCUGUUUUCUGCGGAGAGGGGAGUUUGGCUUCCAUCACGUUUCUGCCUGGGCUGUGUUCCCUGCAUUCUUUGGCUUCCAGCCAUCUUCACAACCAGCAAAGAAGCAUCCUCAGAUCUGCUUCUCUGAUGAUUUCCUCUGCGUCCUUCUUGGAAGGGUCUUAUGAGCACAUCAAGCCCACCCAGGGUAAUCUGAGACAGUCCCCCACACCAAGGCCUUUAAUUUACUCACGUCUGCAGUGUCAUUUGCCGUGAAGAUAGCACAUUUGCGGGAUCAGGAGAUGAGAAUGAGGACAUCUUUGAGAGCUGUUAUUCAUGAUUCAUCCUAGUACACCCUUUUUACUAAAUUAACAGUAUAAAUCAAGGGAGAAAUGAUGAAUCAAGGGGCUAUUUAUUUUAGAUUAGUGAAAAAUUACUGGAAACAUGUAACACAUCAGAUGCUCCUUGUUGAGCUCCAAAAAUUUUUCUUUAAAAAAUUUUGUUGCCUCAAGCCUGGGGCUGGUGCAGUGGGAUGACCCAG